CUUAAAGGAAUUGACGGGACCCGCACAAGCGGUGAUGAUGUGGUUUAAUUCGAUGCAACGCGAAAACCUUACCCACCUUUGACAUGUACGGAAUCCUUUAGAGAUAGAGGAGUGCUCGAAAGAGAGCCGUAACACAGGUGCUGCAUGGCUGUCGUCAGCUCGUGUCGUGAGAUGUUGGGUUAAGUCCCGCAACGAGCGCAACCCUUGUCAUUAGUUGCUACAUUCAGUUGGGCACUCUAAUGAGACUGCCGGUGACAAACCGGAGGAAGUGGGGAUGACGUCAAGUCCUCAUGGCCCUUAUAGGUGGGGCUACACACGUCAUACAAUGGAUGGUACAAAGGGUCGCCAACCCGCGAGGGGGAGCCAAUCCCAUAAAGCCAUUCGUAGUCCGGAUCGCAGUCUGCAACUCGACUGCGUGAAGUCGGAAUCGCUAGUAAUCGUGGAUCAGAAUGUCACGGUGAAUACGUUCCCGGGUCUU
rnacentral:rRNA from 1 species